GGAGCAUUAACGUGCAUUACUUGAGCAUGCUACUUUGCACCUUCCUAUAUCUGAUAAAUUAAAUCCCCAGGCAGCAAAACAAACAAGGUCCAAAACACCAUCCAUAGUAAAGCCAAGUAAAGGCAUCACUGCCGGCUGACGCCAGCGUGACGUCACAUAGCCCAACACAUUGCUCAACACGUUUUGGGUCGGCCUAAAAGCUGGCUUGGAUUGGGUGCUUGCCUAUUUGGAUCGGCUGGAGGGGUUUUAAGGGGUGCUAGCCUAUUUUUCCCACUUUGGACCAUCCUAUGUGCUUGGGUUGGAGUUGCUCUUAAAGUGGCAUGUUUGGAAAAAGAUUAUUACAAUGUUGAUUUUUUCUAUAUUCUAUUAUUUAAAUAUACUAUCAAGAAAAUUUUAUUUAAAAGAAAGAUCAUAUCAACAUAAUAUAAUAAAUAGUUCGAAACAGUUUGAGUUCAAUUUUUUUAAACUCGCUCGAGAUUGGCACGUACAAGAAGCAACUUAAACUUAAAUAUAGUAGUGCUAUUCGGUUUGAGUCGACUCAUUUACAAUUCUAUAUCCAUUCGACUUUAUCAAAUAUAGGACUAAGGCUUGUUUUAUUUAUUUAUUGUUAGUCGAUUUUCAUGUUGCGUCGUUUAAGAAUUCAAUCACCAGAGAUCAAUGUAUAAAAUAUCGAUGAUAUCGGAAAUAUCGGUAGUCCAAAAAUACGGAAAUUUCGAUGGAAAUAUCGGGAUAUUAUCGAUAUCGAUAAAAAUUGAAUAAAAACCACGGAAAUUGUAAGAAAAACUUGAAAAUUUUUAUUGAAACUUUGCAGGAUGUUUAUUUAGUCAAUUAUCUAUUAGUUUAACACAAAAAAUUGGAAGGAAAUACAUUACAUAAUAGAUAUAACUGAUUUAAGUUGAUUAUAUAGCGAGCUGAUAAAUAUUGUGAGUGUAGAAAAUAUGUAGUAAUUAAUGAAAGAAGUUUAAACACACCAUAAUCAUUUAUAUAUAAUGAAUUAGUACAAUAUUUUACACUUUAUACAUUGCAUGGUAAGAUACAUGAGUGACUUAGUAAGGUCUAAAAUAUCGAUGAUAUCGGAAAUAUCGGUAGUCCAAAAAAAUAUCGGUAGUCCAAAAACACGGAAAUUUCAAUGAAAAUAUCGGAAUAUUAUAGAUAUUUUAGACCAUGCUAGAGAUACAAACUUUUAAUAGAUCUUAAUCACCAAAUACCAUGGUAAUCUUCUUUUUUUAGGGAAAUAUAAGGGCUUAAAUUAAAGAGCUAGGGUGGCUACAAUACAACCCGACAAUGAGUUUACAAAGGCUUUGAGUAGUGCGAGAUAGGCUAAUCACCAGAUUGCUCUGGAAUAGAUGAAUCGACGUGUCGGUUUGGGGUAUGGUCAGUUCACUAGGAGGAUCAUCCUCCAAAUUCGAAGUUUUUUCCUGAAAAUUUCAACCUUGUUAACUAUGACAACAAUCGCGACUAUAAUCAAACUCGUGAUUAUAGGAGGGCUGCUCAUGUCACAUCACUAUUCGUGGAUUCGGGCAAUGUGACAGGUUCACCCAAUAAUUCAAACUCAAAUGUGGACAAAAUGAUCUACGUAUGCAAUGACAUAACAAAGCCAUUUUAGUCUUUGCCACUUGGCAGAACUUGAAUUUAAAAAAAAAGAAACAAAUCGUUAAAUCCCAAGUCUCAAAGUAAUAUAUUGAAUCUUUCAGCUCACUGGUUAGUAUCAACUCUCUUCAUCAAUCAUCACCAUCCAUUAUUGGAGGUUGGAGCUUUUUUUUGCAUUCUGUCUAGUCCCCAUGGAAACUAAAUCCCAUAUGCAGCUUCACAUUUUCUUCUUCCCAUAUAUGAUUCAAGGCCACUUCAUACCCCUUAUAAACAUGGCCAAACUAUUUGCUUCUCGUGGUGUAAAAUCCACCCUAAUAACCACCCCUCUCAAUGCACCUCUCUUUUCCAAGGCAAUCCAAAGCAGCAAGAAAUUGGGAUUUGAUGUUGACAUUCUUGUCAUCAAGUUCCCAACUGAGGAAGUAGGGUUGCCUCAAGGAUGUGAAAAUGCUAACUUAGCUACCACCAGGGAGAUGAACGAAAAAUUCAUCAAAGCCACCUUCCUUCUUCAACCACAAAUUGAGCAGAUUUUAUACGAACACCGCCCUCAUUGCCUUGUUGCAGACAAUUUCUUUCCUUGGGCAACAGAUGUUGCUGCCAAGUUUGGUAUUCCAAGGAUCAUAUUUCAAGGCCUCGGUUUUUUCGCUUUGUGUGCUUUUCAUAGUGUGGCGUUGUAUGAGCCUCACGCGAAGCUGUCAUCUGAUUCAGAAGUUUUUACUAUUCCUAGUUUUCCAGUUGAGAUCAAGCUGACAAGAAGCCAAAUCCCGAAUUUUCCCAAGCAAAGUGCUGAAUUCACCAAGUUGUUUAAAGAGGCGAUGGAGAGCGAGGAAAAGAGCUAUGGGUUCAUUGUUAACAGUUUCUAUGAACUUGAACCGGCUUUUGCAGACCAUUACAGGACAGUGUUGGGGAGGAAGGCAUGGCAUAUAGGCCCGGUUUCGUCAGUCAAUAAGGCAGCAGAUGACGAAGCCUUCCUCGAUCGGCACGAGUGCUUGAAUUGGCUUAGUUCUAAGAAACCCAAUUCAGUUGUUUACAUAUGUUUCGGAAGUAUGACCAAAUUCAUUGACUCUCAGCUCCUAGAAAUUGCAGCGGGGCUUGAGGCUUCUGGGCAGGAGUUCAUUUGGGUUGUGAAGAGAGAAAAGAACGAUAAAGAAGAGUGGCUCCCCGAAGGGUUUGAGAAGAGAAUGGAAGGUAAAGGACUAAUUAUAAGAGGUUGGGCUCCGCAAGUGCCGAUUCUUGAGCACCAAGCAAUCGGAGCCUUCGUGACUCACUGCGGGUGGAACUCUAUCCUUGAAGGAGUAUCUGCUGGGGUACCAAUGAUCACAUGGCCCGUGUCGGCUGAGCAGUUUUACAAUGAGAAGUUGGUGACCGUGGUACUGAAAACUGGGGUUGCUGUUGGUGCUAAACAAUGGGGUACACAUCUGGAUGUGAUGACGGAAGCCAGUGUGAAGAGGGAAGCCAUAGAAAAGGCUGUAAAUCAAGUGAUGGUGAGUGAAGAAGCAGAGGGAAUGAGAGGCAGAGCCAGGAUGCUUAGAGAGAUGGCAAUGAGGGCUGUUGAAGAAGGUGGUUCGUCUUUCUCAGAUUUAACUUCUCUAAUUCAGGAAUUGGGGUCCCUUGGAGCAUGAACUACUUUCGACGGAUUAAAUCAUUGUAUACAAUGGAAAAUAGAAAUCUAACAACAUAUUUUUAAGCUCAGUAGACUUGUCUCCCAAGUCACAACUACUGAUACAUACCAACUCUAUCAACCAGUUUCUUCAAUCAAUCUUUUGCCGUGCUAUUAUUUUUCAUCUCCGUUAUUCUCCAUCAUCUGCUAAAAAUUACAUAUCUCUUACUACUUGAAAUGGACAAUAAAACCAACCAACCUCACAUUUUUUUCUUCCCUUGUAUGUCACAUGGCCAUAUGAUUCCAACCAUAGAUAUGGGCAAACUAUUUGCUUCAAGGAGGCAUCAAAACAACCGUAAUUUCCACGCCUCAUAACUUAUCCCCUUCUCCAAAACCAAUGAUGGCUCGUUUAUUAAUCCACUAUCAAAAUGAGGAAAAUUCAAUUGAGAAGAAGCUGGAUUGAGAAAGAAUUAGAAUCAGAUUCCUCUAAAGGUUUUUACUAAAUUGUCUGGAAUCGGGAUAAGAAUGGUGUUGAAUCGGAAUGGAAACCAAUUGAUUACCUUGGUGUAAACAAAUUAUUUUAUGUGAUAAUUAAAUUGAUUAUCAUAUGUAUUCAGACUUGCACAAAGGUUUGCUUGAAUUUAUGAUGAACAUAUUAAUACUUCAUUAUAGAACAUAAAACUCUGAAGUUGGUCCCAAAUUAUAUGUUAAAAAUGCUUCUACUCCGCAAGGAGUUUGCAGCUCAGUUUUAGUUAAAACACAUUCAUCCUCACACCUUGAGGUGCCAAGUUCGAUGCCGAUCCCUCCUCCCCCAAUAGCAGAUGGGUAAAACCCGCGGAGCAUUAACGUGCAUUACUUGAGCAUGCUACAUUUGCACCUUCCUAUAUCUGAUAAAUUAAAUCCGCAAGCAGCAAAAUAAACAAGGUCCAAAACACCAUCCAUAGCAAAGCCAAGUAAGGACAUCACGGCCAUCACGAACGGCUGGGAUUAUUACACACAAUCGUUCCUGGCAUAUGAAAAUGCCCACAACAGCUUCCAACCAUCUAUCACACGAGACCUAACACAACACAGAUCAACUUAAACAGAAGCAG
rnacentral:lncRNA from 1 species